UACGAAGGGGGCUAGCGUUGCUCGGAAUCACUGGGCGUAAAGGGCGUGUAGGCGGGAAGGAAAGUCGGGCGUGAAAUCCCUGGGCUCAACCCAGGAACUGCACUCGAAACUUCUUUUCUUGAGUGCCGGAGAGGAAAGCGGAAUUCCUGGUGUAGAGGUGAAAUUCGUGAGAUAUCAGGAGGAACACCAGUGGCGAAGGCGGCUUUCUGGACGG
rnacentral:rRNA from 1 species